rnacentral:rRNA from 1 species
GACGAACGCUGGCGGCGUGCUUAACACAUGCAAGUCGAACGGAAAGGCCCUGCUUUUGUGGGGUGCUCGAGUGGCGAACGGGUGAGUAACACGUGAGUAACCUGCCCUUGACUUUGGGAUAACUUCAGGAAACUGGGGCUAAUACCGGAUAGGAGCUCCUGCUGCAUGGUGGGGGUUGGAAAGUUUCGGCGGUUGGGGAUGGACUCGCGGCUUAUCAGCUUGUUGGUGGGGUAGUGGCUUACCAAGGCUUUGACGGGUAGCCGGCCUGAGAGGGUGACCGGCCACAUUGGGACUGAGAUACGGCCCAGACUCCUACGGGAGGCAGCAGUGGGGAAUAUUGCACAAUGGGCGGAAGCCUGAUGCAGCAACGCCGCGUGCGGGAUGACGGCCUUCGGGUUGUAAACCGCUUUCGCCUGUGACGAAGCGUGAGUGACGGUAAUGGGUAAAGAAGCACCGGCUAACUACGUGCCAGCAGCCGCGGUGAUACGUAGGGUGCGAGCGUUGUCCGGAUUUAUUGGGCGUAAAGGGCUCGUAGGUGGUUGAUCGCGUCGGAAGUGUAAUCUUGGGGCUUAACCCUGAGCGUGCUUUCGAUACGGGUUGACUUGAGGAAGGUAGGGGAGAAUGGAAUUCCUGGUGGAGCGGUGGAAUGCGCAGAUAUCAGGAGGAACACCAGUGGCGAAGGCGGUUCUCUGGGCCUUUCCUGACGCUGAGGAGCGAAAGCGUGGGGAGCGAACAGGCUUAGAUACCCUGGUAGUCCACGCUGUAAACGGUGGGUACUAGGUGUGGGGUCCAUUCCACGGGUUCCGUGCCGUAGCUAACGCUUUAAGUACCCCGCCUGGGGAGUACGGCCGCAAGGCUAAAACUCAAAGGAAUUGACGGGGCCCUGCACAAGCGGCGGAGCAUGCGGAUUAAUUCGAUGCAACGCGUAGAACCUUACCUGGGUUUGACAUGGAUCGGGAGUGCUCAGAGAUGGGUGUGCCUCUUUUGGGGUCGGUUCACAGGUGGUGCAUGGCUGUCGUCAGCUCGUGUCGUGAGAUGUUGGGUUAAGUCCCGCAACGAGCGCAACCCUUGUUCACUGUUGCCAGCACGUUAUGGUGGGGACUCAGUGGAGACCGCCGGGGUCAACUCGGAGGAAGGUGGGGAUGACGUCAAGUCAUCAUGCCCCUUAUGUCCAGGGCUUCACGCAUGCUACAAUGGCUGGUACAGAGAGUGGCGAGCCUGUGAGGGUGAGCGAAUCUCGGAAAGCCGGUCUCAGUUCGGAUUGGGGUCUGCAACUCGACCUCAUGAAGUCGGAGUCGCUAGUAAUCGCAGAUCAGCAACGCUGCGGUGAAAAAGUUCCCGGGGCU